rnacentral:tRNA from 1 species
UGGCUUAGUGGUAAAGCGUUUGGCUUCUAAACCAGGGGUCCCGGGUUCGAAUCCUGA